rnacentral:ncRNA from 1 species
AGAAGUAUGUAAUAAUAGCUUAGAAAAUGCUGCGGUAUUUCCCUCGAAAUAUUCGAGACUUCAAAGUCGCAGAUAAACCACUUUCUAAGACACUACUUCU